rnacentral:rRNA from 1 species
GACGAACGCUGGCGGCGUGCUUAACACAUGCAAGUCGAACGAGUGGCGAACGGGUGAGUAAUACGUGAGUAACCUGCCCUCUUUUUGGGAUAAGCCUUGGACACGGGGUCUAAUACCGAAUAAAGGGGGAUGGGGUCGCGGCCUCUCAGCUUGUGUGUGGGGUGAUGGCCUACCAAGGCGGUGACGGGUAGCCGGCCUGAGAGGGUGACCGGCCGCAUUGGGACUUAGAUACGGCCCAGAGUCCUACGAGGGGGAGCAGUGGGGGAUAUUGCACAAUGAGCGAGAGCCUGAUGCAGCGACGCCGCGUGGGGGAUGAAGGCUUUCGGGUUGUAAACCUCUUUCGCGAGCGAACGGGUAGGUGGAAAAGAAGCGCCGGCUAACUACGUGCCAGCAGCCGCGGUAAUAC